rnacentral:rRNA from 1 species
AGAUUGAACGCUGGCGGCAUGCCUUACACAUGCAAGUCGAACGGUAACGCGGGGCAACCUGGCGACGAGUGGCGAACGGGUGAGUAAUGCAUCGGAACGUGCCCAGUAGUGGGGGAUAGCCCGGCGAAAGCCGGAUUAAUACCGCAUACGACCUAAGGGUGAAAGCGGGGGACCGUAAGGCCUCGCGCUAUUGGAGCGGCCGAUGUCAGAUUAGGUAGUUGGUGGGUAAAAGCCUACCAAGCCUACGAUCUGUAGCUGGUCUGAGAGGACGACCAGCCACACUGGGACUGAGACACGGCCCAGACUCUACGGGAGCAGCAGUGGGAAUUUGGACAAUGGGCGCAAGCCGUGAUCCAGCCAUGCCGCGUGCGGGAAGAAGGCCUGGUGUAAACCGCUUUGCAGGAGAAUCUUAGGCAAUACCCGAGGAUGACGUACGUCGGAGAAUAAGACGACGCGUAACUACGUGCCGAGCAGCCGAC